AUGAACGCUGGCGGCGUGCCUAAUACAUGCAAGUCGAGCGAACAGACGAGGAGCUUGCUCCUCUGACGUUAGCGGCGGACGGGUGAGUAACACGUGGAUAACCUACCUAUAAGACUGGGAUAACUUCGGGAAACCGGAGCUAAUACCGGAUAAUAUAUUGAACCGCAUGGUUCAAUAGUGAAAGACGGUUUUGCUGUCACUUAUAGAUGGAUCCGCGCCGCAUUAGCUAGUUGGUAAGGUAACGGCUUACCAAGGCGACGAUGCGUAGCCGACCUGAGAGGGUGAUCGGCCACACUGGAACUGAGACACGGUCCAGACUCCUACGGGAGGCAGCAGUAGGGAAUCUUCCGCAAUGGGCGAAAGCCUGACGGAGCAACGCCGCGUGAGUGAUGAAGGUCUUCGGAUCGUAAAACUCUGUUAUUAGGGAAGAACAAAUGUGUAAGUAACUAUGCACGUCUUGACGGUACCUAAUCAGAAAGCCACGGCUAACUACG
rnacentral:rRNA from 1 species